GGCACUUGCUUUAGAAGAUACAGAGUUUUGGUAAAACCCAUUUUGAGUGUUGUUUGACUAGAAAGCAUCAUAGGUGCCAGCUCAGCAGAAGGCUGAGCUGGGGCCAGCAGCAGGAGGGCCUGGAGAUGGAACCACAAAACCAUCUCUCCUGCUGUUCUCUCUCCUGAUGGAAAGAAGGUCCUAGCUGCAUGAAAAGCUCCAGCAGUCCAGUUGCUGUGGGUACUUCCCCUGGGUCAUUAUGCUGAGCCAUGGCCAAAAAAGCAGGUGGUCAUCCAGCAUGGCCAUACAGCAAAGACUGUGACCAGCAAGCCAAGGUCUCAAGGAUACAGAAUCCUGCAACUUCUGACUUAGUGUCCUUCUGGCAUGAUGCAGCUUGCUCUGCCUCCUGACCUGGGGAGUUUUCAGAGAGGACAGAGAAUGGUUCAACCACAUUUACCCAAAGGAUCUCCUGGACCACAGCAGCUCUAGGAAAUGAAAGUGACAGUUUCACUGUGGGUGUUGAAAAAUGAAACCAAAAAAUGAAAUGAAAAUGAAACUUUUCAAAGUCUCAUGAAAAAAAAUGUUAAGUAGCUAUUAUCAGAGGAAUUCUUGAGUUCUUGAAUCUGGAUCCAACAUUUUCUUGUUUCAGUAAAUGUUUAAAGCAAUUUAAUUUCGUACUCAUACUUCACAUUCAUUGAAAACUAAACUCAGAACAGAUUCAUCAUCUGGUUGAUGUGCUGCAAAUUAUUAUGGCCCACAACCUGAUAAAGCCUUUUUCUACCCCCAUUUAACCCAGGCACAGCAGUCUGCCUCAAAAUUAACAUGUAAACAACCCUGUCUCUUUAACCACUAUCAUCCUCACGCUUCCAGAAAAACAAACUUUAUCAGGCAAAUUCAGAUGCAGGUUGCAUUUGCUCAAGCCAGUCCUCAUUAUCACUAAAGCCCAGAACUUUCGCCCAGUUCUGCAAAUGUGGACACCCAGGCACCUCAUGCAGUUUGGAGUAAUUUUUUUUUUAUCCACAUCCUGUUUUUAUUCCCAAGAGCAGCAGCUCGUGCACAGUUUAUUUGUGGUUUGGUUUUUUAAGCCCAGACACCAUUUUUUAGCAGGUGACAUUGAGACUGUGUGUCUUGGUAGUCAAAUACAUGAACCUCAGUCUAUUCAAUCUUGGGGCAAUGAAAACUUUAGGCAUAGAAUUUUUGUAGCACAACUAUUUGCUUUAUAUUACGUGGUUCCUUUAUCCUGGAAAAUUCUGAGUGAAUUCUGCCAACACGAAAGGAGGCACCUUUCUUCAAGAAGAGCUCUCUUGCCCAUGUGUGGCCCUGGCACCAUGAAUAGAACAAACUGUGGGUAAUUUAUAAAGAUUAAAACAAAAUUUAGAAUAAAAAAUACCAAAAUUUAUGUGGAAUGUUAUUCAAGAUUAGGAAUAUUCAUGCUGUUGUCCCAUAUUGUUCAUUCAGUUAUGGCACAUCAGGAUCACAGAACCAUAGAAACACUGAGGUAGAAAAAGACCUCCAAGAUCACGAGGUCCAGCCACCAACCCAGCACUGCCUUGUUCACCACCAAACCAUGUCCCCAAGUGCCAACGCUGCACAUUCUUUGACCAUUUUGAGCAUUUGCACCUCCUUACCCAGUAGUCAGAUUUCUCAACACUUUUCGGCCUUUAUUGUCCAAAAUCCUCACCCAUCUGACAGAUAUGGUUACAAGUGGCACAAAAGCAAGAUUAACAUGUAGAAACUAAAAAUGAAAACAUCUGAUGGGUAAAAUAUCAUCAUGGACUCCUGGUCGUUUGGGUCUGAUGCCCAAUGGGAAAGAUCAGCUGAAAGAGCAUUUGAAAGCAUUGCUAUUGAAAUGGCCUUAGGCUGAGACGGGAGAUUCAGAUUAGACAUCAGAAAAAAAAUGUCACGGUUCGGAUAGUCAGGCACUGGAGUAGUGGUCCAAGGAGGUGGUGGUCACCAUCCCUGGAGGUGUUUAAGAGGUACUUGGAUCUGGCACUGGGUGAUGUGGUUUAGGGGUUACAGUCCUAGUGCUGGGUUCAUGGUUGAAUUUCAUUAUCUUAAAAGCCUCUUCCAACCCAAAUGAUUCUAAGGUUCUAUAUUUAAAGCUAUUGCAAAAACACAUGGAUUUGGCACAGGUACAGGCCGUUCAUCAGGCUAUGCGUGACUUAGCUUAUGUGAGCAUCCAGCUCACAGCACAAUUCGCUCCCCGGUGUGUUGUGAGGGCCAGCACAUCACAGGCAGUUUUUAUUUUUUAUUGUUUCUGCCGGCAGCAGCACACGGGGCCGUCGAGGAGGCGAGGCAGGGCAGGGCAGGGCAGCCCCGGCGGGCUGUGAGCAGGGCGGGGCAGGGCGGCCGCCCCGGGGCCGCCGCUCCGUGAGGGACAAAGCCGGGCCGGGCGCUGGAUGCGGGGCACCAUCUUUACCCUCCGGGCGGCGGCUCAGGAGCCGAAGGUGCCCCUUCGGGCGCGGCCU